AUGAACGCUUCCAGCCAAGAUUCUCGGCUCGGACAGCUCUACCUUGCUAGGGAGCAGGCCUGGGGUGACUCCCAGGAGUCCCUCCCCAUCGGCACAUGGAAGCCCUCAGCCGCAGAGACCAUCCCCAUGGGGUUGGACCCAGAGUCCGGCAGUUGCCUCCAUGCCCAGGGGACCAGUUUCGGCGGGGGAACACAACUCACCGUGAUCGGUCAGCCCAAGGCAUCUCCCACCGUGAAUUUGUUCGCUCCAUCUGCCGCUGAGCUGGACUCCCAAAAGGCCACCCUGGUGUGCCUCAUGGCCAACUUCUACCCCAGCUCCGUGUCUGUGACUUGGAAGGCAGACGGUGAGACCGUGUCUGAGGGCGUGAAGACCACCAAGCCCUCCAAGCAGACAGACAACAAGUACAUGGCCAGCAGCUACUUGUCCCUGACCCGUGCCCGGUGGCAAGAGGUGAACAGCUUCACCUGCCAGGUCACCCACGAAGGGAAGGUCACCGAGAAGUCUGUGUCCCCAUCUGCGUGCACUUAG